rnacentral:rRNA from 1 species
UCGGCUUAGAGUUUGAUCAUGGCUCAGGAUGAACGCUGGCGGCGUGCCUAAUACAUGCAAGUCGAACGAAACUUCUUUAUCACCGAGUGCUUGCACUCACCGAUAAAGAGUUGAGUGGCGAACGGGUGAGUAACACGUGGGCAACCUGCCCAAAAGAGGGGGAUAACACUUGGAAACAGGUGCUAAUACCGCAUAACCAUAGUUACCGCAUGGUAACUAUGCAAAAGGUGGCUAUGCUACCGCUUUUGGAUGGGCCCGCGGCGCAUUAGCUAGUUGGUGAGGUAAAGGCUUACCAAGGCGAUGAUGCGUAGCCGAACUGAGAGGUUGAUCGGCCACAUUGGGACUGAGACACGGCCCAAACUCCUACGGGAGGCAGCAGUAGGGAAUCUUCCACAAUGGGCGAAAGCCUGAUGGAGCAACGCCGCGUGGGUGAAGAAGGUCUUCGGAUCGUAAAACCCUGUUGUUAGAGAAGAAAGUGCGUGAGAGUAACUGUUUACGUUUCGACGGUAUCUAACCAGAAAGCCACGGCUAACUACGUGCCAGCAGCCGCGGUAAUACGUAGGUGGCAAGCGUUAUCCGGAUUUAUUGGGCGUAAAGGGAACGCAGGCGGUCUUUUAAGUCUGAUGUGAAAGCCUUCGGCUUAACCGGAGUAGUGCAUUGGAAACUGGGAGACUUGAGUGCAGAAGAGGAGAGUGGAACUCCAUGUGUAGCGGUGAAAUGCGUAGAUAUAUGGAAGAACACCAGUGGCGAAAGCGGCUCUCUGGUCUGUAACUGACGCUGAGGUUCGAAAGCGUGGGGAGCAAACAGGA